GGACCGUUGGCGCAACGGUAGCGCGUUGUAAGUUGACAAUUACCGAAAUAAGUAAUAUACAGAACAUCAAUUCUGACUGUCCAAUCACAGCGACUCCAGAUCGAAAGGUUGUCCGUUCAAAUCGGGCACGGUUCA